rnacentral:rRNA from 1 species
CCUACGGGUGGCAGCAGUGAGGAAUAUUGGUCAAUGGGCGCUAGCCUGAACCAGCCAAGUAGCGUGAAGGAUGACUGCCCUAUGGGUUGUAAACUUCUUUUAUAUGGGAAUAAAGUGCAGUAUGUAUACUGCUUUGCAUGUACCUUAUGAAUAAGGAUCGGCUAACUCCGUGCCAGCAGCCGCGGUAAUACGGAGGAUCCGAGCGUUAUCCGGAUUUAUUGGGUUUAAAGGGAGCGUAGGCGGGUUGUUAAGUCAGUUGUGAAAGUUUGCGGCUCAACCGUAAAAUUGCAGUUGAUACUGGCAUCCAUGAGAAAAGUAGAGGAAGGCGAAAUUCGUGGUGGAGAGGGGAAAUGGUGA